UACGUAGGGGGCAAGCGUUGUCCGGAUUUAUUGGGCGUAAAGAGCUCGUAGGUGGUUCGGUAAGUCGGAUGCGAAAUCUCCAGGCUCAACCUGGAGGGGUCAUUCGAUACUGCCGUGACUAGAGUUCGGUAGGGGAGUGUGGAAUUCCUGGUGGAGCGGUGAAAUGCGCAGAUAUCAGGAGGAACACCGGUGGCGAAGGCGGAUCUCUGGGCCAUUACUGACGCUGAGGAGCGAAAGCGUGGGGAGCGAACAGG
rnacentral:rRNA from 1 species